rnacentral:rRNA from 1 species
GAACGCCCCGCAAGGGGAGUGGCAGACGGGUGAGUAACACGUGGGAACGUCCCCCUCGGUUCGGAAUAACUCAGGGAAACUUGAGCUAAUACCGGAUACGUCCGAGAGGAGAAAGAUUUAUCGCCGAGGGAUCGGCCCGCGUCUGAUUAGCUAGUUGGUAGGGUAACGGCCUACCAAGGCGACGAUCAGUAGCUGGUCUGAGAGGAUGACCAGCCACACUGGGACUGAGACACGGCCCAGACUCCUACGGGAGGCAGCAGUGGGGAAUCUUGGACAAUGGGCGCAAGCCUGAUCCAGCCAUGCCGCGUGAGUGAUGAAGGCCCUAGGGUUGUAAAGCUCUUUCGGCGGGGACGAUAAUGACGGUACCCGCAGAAGAAGCCCCGGCUAACUUCGUG